AUGGCGAAGUCGUCGUGGCCGGAGGUGGUGGGGUGGCCGCAGCUGAACGCGGCGGACCAGAUCAACAUCGACCGGCCGGAUGUGACUGAUGUGGGGUUCUACAUGGAGGGCUCCCCGCUGCCAUCUGGAUACAACCCCAGGCGCGUCGUCAUCAUCUCCGACGCCAACGGCGUCGUUGUCAAGACCCCCGUCAUCGGCUAG
rnacentral:rRNA from 1 species